rnacentral:rRNA from 1 species
UGGGGAAUAUUGCACAAUGGAGGGAACUCUGAUGCAGCGACGCCGCGUGAGAGAUGAAGGAAUUCGUUUCGUAAAACUCUGUUCUAUGGGAAGAAAAGGACUGUACCAUAGGAGAAAGCUCCGGCUAAAUACGUGCCAGCAGCCGCGGUAAUACGUAUGGAGCGAGCGUUGUCCGGAAUUAUUGGGCGUAAAGGGUGCGCAGGCGGCUUUACAAGUUGGAUGUGAAAUAUUGUGGCUCAACCACAAACGUGCAUCCAAAACUGCAAAGCUUGAGUUAAGGAGAGGUAAGUGGAAUUCCUGGGGUAGCGGUGGAAUGCGUAGAUAUCAGGAGGAAUACCGGUGGCGAAGGCGACUUACUGGACUUAAACUGACGCUCAGACACGAAAGCGUGGGGAGCAAACAGG